rnacentral:rRNA from 1 species
CUUGGUCAUUUAGAGGAAGUAAAAGUAGUAACAAGGUCUCCGUUGGUGAACCAGCGGAGGGAUCAUUACAGGGUUGCAAAACUCCCAACCCUUUGUGAACGAACCUACCAGUUGCCUCGGCGGCGAGCCUUUCAGGCGGACCGCCGGAGGAAUACAAACUCUUUGCAUUUUAACAUCUCUGAUUACUUAUUCAAUAAGUUAAAACUUUCAACAACGGAUCUCUUGGUUCUGGCAUCGAUGAAGAACGCAGCGAAAUGCGAUAAGUAAUGUGAAUUGCAGAAUUCAGUGAAUCAUCGAAUCUUUGAACGCACAUUGCGCCCGCUAGUAUUCUGGCGGGCAUGCCUGUUCGAGCGUCAUUUCAACCAUCAAGCCCUAGGCUUGCGUUGGAGCCCUGCGGCCGCCGCAGCCUCCUAAAACCAGUGGCGGGCUCGCUAUCACACCGAGUGCAGUAGUUUACUCUUCGCUCAGGGCGUGUGGCGGGUGCUGGCCGUAAAACCCCCUACUUCUUAAGGUUGACCUCGGAUCAGGUAGGAAUACCCGCUGAACUUAAGCAUAUCAAUAAGCGGAGGA